AAAUCUCUUAACGCGCAAGCUAGCCGUUUUAUCGUGGCGUUUGUUGACAAACAAUCGGUAAUCGAUAGUAUCGGUACGCGUUUGAAUUUUUUCAUUGUUUUCUGAGUGAAAUAAUCGUUGCUUGCUACUUGCUACGUAGUGCCAGUCUCUAGUCCUACUAAUAGCUAAUACAUCGGUUGUCGAUUGGUUAUUGGAAAAUAGACACUCGCUGUCCUGGGAAAAUAUGAAGACGCACAACGAAACUUUUGAUCGUAUAUAAAAAUUCUAUCUUAGAUAAACGGUCGAGUAAAGAUAAACAUUUCAAUGUAAUUAGCGAAGAACAUGUCGACGAAGAUUUCGCGAGGAACAUGAAUGUAGAUCAUCGAUAACACGAGAUUUUAUGUUGUCGAGUUAUGAGAGGAAAAAAAUGCAUACGAACAAAUGAUGAGAUCUAGGUGGAAACGUGUCGAUGCAUAUUUCGACAACAAUGACACGUAUCUCUUGGUGCAUCAGAAACCAAAAAACGCUCAGCAGUAUGAGGAAGAGAUACAAAUAAGGGGCAACUCGAAGAAUAAAGACAAGAUUCCAAAACCAACGAGAUGGAGAUCGAGAUUGAAUUCAAGAAAUGCUUGACGCUACUGCCCAAGUAGUCACAGUAAAAUCAAAAUUGUGCUUAUUUACAAUUUAUGCAUAAUAUUAAUACAUUAAAAUACUGUUUUGUGGAAUAACGUACAUAAUUAAGUCUAUAAUUGGCGUCCUAUUAUAAUUGAGAAUUAUGGAAUAACUUCUCUUUUUAUGUUUAAAAUAAGAAAUCUUUAAAUUCCAUUUACAAGUUUGAUUGUAUAAAUUAUAAAAACUAACGAUGCAGAAUCUAAUUUAAAAA